AAAUUAGUCCACAAAAUGAUGGCCCAGCCCAUCAAGUUAAAAGCUUAUGUUUAACUUGCCCUAAAACUCAACACACUUUCUUCUUCUUCCUUUCAGCUUUCAGAUCGCAGCAGUUGCCGGAGCGUAACGGCGCCGGACUCCCACGUCACGCUGCUUUUACGGCAGUCAAAAGUUGACUGACGUAGCAUAGCAACGCCUCCAACAACGCUCGGUAACACAAGAUGAGCUUCAUAAGCCAGUUGUUCAAGCAAUCCUUACGAAGUCGAGCUGAAAUACCAGAUGGUUUUGCUUGUUUCGUGUAAACUAUUUGACCGUGAUUUCUCUGUUUAAAAAAAUCUGGAUUUCGAAGUUGGCUUCGUGUGUCUGAGAAAUUUGGAGCUUGAAGAAAAGAUAAAAAUUGAAGAAAAAAUGUUAAAAUCUGAAGAAGAGAAGUUCGAGCUCCUGAAAACAUAUUAUGAUAAGAUGGCUGAUUUGAGGACAGGUUCUGGAUGAAGCGAUCGAAUCACAGAGAGGGUUUGUUGCAGAGGUGAGUCAGUUGAGGGAGAACUACAAAAUAGAUGUUUGAGUUUGUAUAUGGUGGUGUGAUGAGCAGAGUGGUUAAGAGGGUACAUACACUAAUCAGCCUUUGUCUCAAUUGCUGAGUGUUAUCUGUCUUAUGUCCAAGGCUUGAUGCAAAACUACUAUCGAGCUGGGGGUCUCACUGGAAGCAGCCUCUCUAUUUUUACAGGGUAGAGUUCAUGCUUGUGGAUACUUUGUAUUUACAAGAGACGUGAUGUCCUGCUUAUUAUAAAUCUUUUUAGGUCCAAGGGGGCAUUUGGUAUAAAGGUGUCUUCUCCAUAAACAUGUCCAAAAGUUGAGGAAACCACCCCCGGUAUAUCAAACACAAAAUGAAGAAUCCGACCAUGAUCCAAAGAUCAGAUCCACUGUUCGGUAGAUGGUGUGAGCUACACAUCAUCAAGCACAUUUCAACUUCGUAAGAUGGCUGAGUUGGAUGUUUCCAGAAUUGCAUAUACUGCCAUAACGCAGAAGGACAAAACUAAAGCAUUGCAGUUUAUACAACAGGAUAAAACCUAUUGCAAGUCUAUUAUGGUUGAAUUUGCAUCUAAGAAGAAUAUAAGAAUACCUGUAUACCAGACAAAACAUCUAAAGGCGCCGGUUCUUGUUUUCCAUUCUAAGCUGCUUUUCAAAGGUGGUACUUAUCCGGGAGAUAUUGCCAAAAAGCAAGAAAGAAGCCGAACAAUUCGUGGCGCACUCUGUUAUUAUUAAUAUUUUAGGUAUUUUGCAUAACUCGAGACCGUAUUUCUCUGAGGUGACUUGCUUUCAUCUCAUGUCAUUUAUGUUAAUUUCGGCUUCAGAGUCUGAUACUGACAUGAAGGACAUAGUGAAUAGCAAGCUCCGGCAUAAUAAGGAAAUCGAACGUAUUCAGAUUAGCUCGCACGUUUUAAAAGCACAAGCGAGCUACAAAACCAGCACCAUAGCUCCAGCCACAACCACAUCUGCAGCUGCAGGUGCACCUCAACCAAUCAUUCCACAACAGUUGGUUGAGCUAGUUACUCCAGCUGCUCCUGUUGUAGUUCAACCGCCUACUAAACGAGUAAAAACUGAGCCGGUUGAUCCAGACGUUCCUUUUGAAACUCGACGACCAACUCCAUGAGUAUCAACUAAGUCGAACUUAGUUCAAGGCACCAUGGUUCCACCAACAAUUCCACAUUCAGUUACACCUCAACCGAUUGUUCCACAACUGUCAGUGGGACGAGCCGCUCCAGUUAUUCCUGUUGCAAUUCAACGUCCUCAACUAGUAUCAACUAGGCCAAUCCAUGCGUUUGUUCGUGUUCCCGUUGUAAGCAACAGCCUAUCAAGGCAGCUGUUGCUGAACCUCGGGUUUUGACAGCAGUCCCAUAUGCUGUAGUCAACAACUCAUGCACUCCUGUCGUAUCAACGGCAAUGGUUGAAAUUCCAGGAACCACCAAUGUAAGUCCACUAUCGCAGCCAGAAGCAUCACCUGCUCAAUCACUGGAGUACAUAGCACUUGUGAAUCAAGCUUUUGACAAGAAACGAAGACGGACACAAUGGAAAAAUGCCCGAAAGAAGAUGUGUGCUAAUGCUCAGUAAGUGUUAUCAAGCUUCUUAUCAUGGUGGUGGCGUGUGAUUGAGCCUCUGAAUCGUUAAUUAUUGUUAUGUAGAAGUUUGUUGUACAGUUGGUUGUGUUUUGGACCCUAUAAUUGGUGUUUUUGUAGGUGGUCAUGAAUCAUGAUAAUGUAUGUUGUUUUCUGUUUUUGUGUUU